AUUCCAGCUCCAAUAGCGUAUAUUAAAGUUGUUGCAGUUAAAAAGCUCGUAGUUGAAUUUGUGUCAGUGUCUGAAUGUUGGUUCUUUCAACUUGUUCAGUCAUUGUCAUUAUUGAGUGAAAACCAUGGGGCAUUAGGUUGUUCUGUGGUAGAUUCUCAUCAUUUACUGUGAAAAAAUUAGAGUGUUCAAAGCAGGCUUAUGCCAAUGAAUAUAUUAGCAUGGAAUAAUAGAAUGUAACUUUGGAACUAUUUUGUUGGCUUGUGUACCAAAGUAAUGAUUAAUAGGGAUAAUUGGGGGUAUUCGUAUUCCAUUGUCAGAGGUGAAAUUCUUGGAUUUUUGGAAGACGAACAACUGCGAAAGCAUUUACCAAGGAUGUU
rnacentral:rRNA from 1 species